GGUGAAAAGCACCCCGGAAGGGGAGUGAAAUAGAACCUGAAACCGUGUGCUUACAAGUAGUCAGAGCCCGUUAAUGGGUGAUGGCGUGCCUUUUGUAGAAUGAACCGGCGAGUUACGAUUUGAUGCAAGGUUAAGCAGUAAAUGUGGAGCCGUAGCGAAAGCGAGUCUGAAUAGGGCGUUUAGUAUUUGGUCGUAGACCCGAAACCAGGUGAUCUACCCUUGGUCAGGUUGAAGUUCAGGUAACACUGAAUGGAGGACCGAACCGACUUACGUUGAAAAGUGAGCGGAUGAACUGAGGGUAGCGGAGAAAUUCCAAUCGAACCUGGAGAUAGCUGGUUCUCUCCGAAAUAGCUUUAGGGCUAGCCUCAAGUGAUGAUUAUUGGAGGUAGAGCACUGUUUGGACGAGGGGCCCCUCUCGGGUUACCGAAUUCAGACAAACUCCGAAUGCCAAUUAAUUUAACUUGGGAGUCAGAACAUGGGUGAUAAGGUCCGUGUUCGAAAGGGAAACAGCCCAGACCACCAGCUAAGGUCCCAAAAUAUAUGUUAAGUGGAAAAGGAUGUGGCGUUGCCCAGACAACUAGGAUGUUGGCUUAGAAGCAGCCAUCAUUUAAAGAGUGCGUAAUAGCUCACUAGUCGAGUGACACUGCGCCGAAAAUGUACCGGGGCUAAACAUAUUACCGAAGCUGUGGAUUGUCCUUUGGACAAUG
rnacentral:rRNA from 1 species